GUUGAUCCUGCCAGAGGUUACUGCUAUCGAGGUUCGACUAAGCCAUGCGAGUCGAAUGUAGCAAUACAUGGCGUACUGCUCAGUAACACGUGGACAACCUACCCUCAGGACGGGUAUAAACCCGGGAAACUGGGUAUAAUCCCCGAUAGUCCUCGACUGCUGGAAUGCAUUGAGGACUAAAGCUCCGGCGCCUGAGGAUGGGUCUGCGGCCUAUCAGGUAGUAGUGGGUCUAAUGUACCUACUAGCCUACGACGGGUACGGGUUGUGAGAGCAAGAGCCCGGAGAUGGAUUCUGAGACACGAAUCCAGGCCCUACGGGGUGCAGCAGGCGCGAAAACUUUACAAUGCCGGCAACGGCGAUAAGGGAACCUCGAGUGCCAGGUUACAAAUCUGGCUGUCGUGAUGCCUAAAAAGCGUUGCACAGCAAGGGCCGGGCAAGACCGGUGCCAGCCGCCGCGGUAACACCGGCGGCUCGAGUGGUAACCGUUAUUAUUGGGUCUAAAGGGUCUGUAGCCGGCCGGAUAAGUCUCUUGGGAAAUCCAGCAGCUCAACUGUUGGGCCUUCAGGAGAUACUGUCUGGCUCGAGGCCGGGAGAGGUGAGAGGUACUUCAGGGGUAGGGGUGAAAUCUUGUAAUCCUUGAAGGACCACCAGUGGCGAAGGCGUCUCACCAGAACGGACCUGACGGCAAGGGACGAAAGCUAGGGGCACGAACCGGAUUAGAUACCCGGGUAGUCCUAGCCGUAAACGAUACUCGCUAGGUGUCGGCCACGGUGCGACCGUGGUCGGUGCCGUAGGGAAGCCGUGAAGCGAGCCACCUGGGAAGUACGGCCGCAAGGCUGAAACUUAAAGGAAUUGGCGGGGGAGCACCACAACGG
rnacentral:rRNA from 1 species